rnacentral:rRNA from 1 species
GAUGAACGCUAGCUACAGGCUUAACACAUGCAAGUCGAGGGGAAACGACAUCGAAAGCUUGCUUUUGAUGGGCGUCGACCGGCGCACGGGUGAGUAACGCGUAUCCAACCUGCCCACCACUUGGGGAUAACCUUGCGAAAGUAAGACUAAUACCCAAUGACGUCUCUAGAAGACAUCUGAAAGAGAUUAAAGAUUUAUCGGUGAUGGAUGGGGAUGCGUCUGAUUAGCUUGUUGGCGGGGUAACGGCCCACCAAGGCGACGAUCAGUAGGGGUUCUGAGAGGAAGGUCCCCCACAUUGGAACUGAGACACGGGUCCAAAACUCCUACGGGAGGCAGCAGUGAGGAAUAUUGGUCAAUGGACGAGAGUCUGAACCAGCCAAGUAGCGUAGCAGGAUGGACGGCCCUA